rnacentral:rRNA from 1 species
CAACUAGUAGCAAACGGGUGAGUAAUGCCUAGGAAUCUGCCCAGUAGUAGGGAAUAACUUUUGGAAACGGAAGAUAAUACCUUAUAUCACCGAUUUAUCGGGAAAGCUUUAGCGCUAUUGGAUGAGCCUAGGUCUGAUUAGUUUGUUGGUGGGGUAAUGGCCUACCAAGACUGAGAUCAGUAGCUGGUCUGAGAGGAUGAUCAGCCACACCGGGACUGAGACACGGCCCGGACUCC